CCACUCCCGGCACGGGGAGGUAGUGACGAAAAAUAACGAUACGGGACUCAUCCGAGGCCCCGUAAUCGGAAUGAGCACACUUUAAACUCUUUAACGAGUAUCCAUUGGAGGGCAAGUCUGGUGCCAGCAGCCGCGGUAAUUCCAGCUCCAAUAGCGUAUAUUAAAGUUGUUGCGGUUAAAAAGCUCGUAGUUGGACUUGUGUCCCACGCUGUCGGUUCACCGUUCGUCGGUGUCAACUGGCAUGCCAGUGGGGACGUCCUGCCGGUGGAUGCGGCCGGCCGCGGGCCCCCUGGGUCCGCGCGUCGGCGGUCCGGUGCAAUCCUACCGCGGUGCUCUUCACCGAGUGUCGAGGUGGGCCGGCACGUUUACUUUGAACAAAUUAGAGUGCUUAAAGCAGGCAGUGGUUCGCCUGAAUAUUGUGUGCAUGGAAUAAUGGAAUAGGACCUCGGUUCUAUUUUGUUGGUUUUCGGAACUUGAGGUAAUGAUUAAUAGGGACAGACGGGGGCAUUCGUAUUGCGACGUUAGAGGUGAAAUUCUUGGAUCGUCGCAAGACGAACCUAAGCGAAAGCAUUUGCCAUGAGUGUUUUCAUUAAUCAAGAACGAAAGUUAGAGGUUCGAAGGCGAUCAGAUACCGCCCUAGUUCUAACCAUAAACGAUGCCAGCCAGCGAUCCGCCGAUGUUCCUCCGAUGACUCGGCGGGCAGCUUCCGGGAAACCAAAGCUUUUGGGUUCCGGGGGAAGUAUGGUUGCAAAGCUGAAACUUAAAGGAAUUGACGGAAGGGCACCACCAGGAGUGGAGCCUGCGGCUUAAUUUGACUCAACACGGGAAACCUCACCAGGCCCGGACACCGGAAGGAUUGACAGAUUGAGAGCUCUUUCUUGAUUCGGUGGGUGGUGGUGCAUGGCCGUUCUUAGUUGGUGGAGCGAU
rnacentral:rRNA from 1 species